GUAGUACAUAUAAUAAAUUGAAACGGUACAGAGAAGAUUGGCUCGACGCCUGCGCAAGGAUGAUGUGCGAAAUCAUGAACCGUUCCAUAUUUUU
rnacentral:snRNA from 1 species